CAAAAUGUCUCGCAAGGGAUACAUUGGAUUGGAGACUGAAUUGAGGCAGAGAAAAAUAUUCAGGGAGGAUGAGGAAGUUGAUAGGUCAUUCCUUUGGCGUAAGGCCCACGAAGACAAAUCUGGAAACAUCACAAAUACAGAGACUGCUGAAGUUGCUGAAAAAAUUGACGAUUUGUUGGACAAAAAAAAGAGGGGAGAGUUCAUAUCUUCUGGAAGCAAUGA